rnacentral:rRNA from 1 species
GAGUUUGAUCAUGGCUCAAAACGUACGCUGGCGGCACGCCUAACACAUGCAAGUCGAACGAAGUAGCAAUACUUAGUGGCAGACGGGUGAGUAACAUGUAGGUAUCUGCCCUUUGGCCUGGAAUAACACGAGGAAACUUGUGCUAAUACCGGAUAAGUCUUUACGGAGAAAGCUUUAUGCACCAUUGGAUGAGCCUGCACUUGAUUAGUUUGUUGGUGGGGUAAUGGCCUACCAAGACUGUGAUCAAUAGCUGAUUUGAGAGGAUGAUCAGCCACAUUGGGACUGAGACACGGCCCAAACUCCUACGGGAGGCAGCAGUGGGGAAUCUUGCACAAUGGAGGAAACUCUGAUGCAGCGAUGCCGCGUGAGUGAAGAAGGCCCUUGGGUUGUAAAGCUCUUUCGUCGGGGAAGAAAAUGACUGUACCCGAAUAAGAAGGUCCGGCUAACUUCGUGCCAGCAGCCGCGGUAAUACGAAGGGACCUAGCGUAGUUCGGAAUUACUGGGCUUAAAGAGUUCGUAGGUGGUUGAAAAAGUUAGUGGUGAAAUCCCAGAGCUUAACUCUGGAACUGCCAUUAAAACUUUUCAGCUAGAGUAUGAUAGAGGAAAGCAGAAUUUCUAGUGUAGAGGUGAAAUUCGUAGAUAUUAGAAAGAAUACCAAUUGCGAAGGCAGCUUUCUGGAUCAUUACUGACACUGAGGAACGAAAGCAUGGGUAGCGAAGAGGAUUAGAUACCCUCGUAGUCCAUGCCGUAAACGAUGUGUGUUGGACGUUGGAAAUUUAUUUUCAGUGUCGCAGGGAAACCGAUAAACACACCGCCUGGGGAGUACGACCGCAAGGUUAAAACUCAAAUGAAUUGAUGGGGACCCGCACAAGUAGUGGAGCAUGUGGUUUAAUUCGAAGAUACGCGCAGAACCUUACCAACACUUGACAUGUUCGUCGCGACUCUAAGAGAUUAGAGUUUUCGGUUCGGCCGGACGAAACACAGGUGCUGCAUGGCUGUCGUCAGCUCGUGUCGUGAGAUGUUGGGUUAAGUCCCGCAACGAGCGCAACCCUCACUUUUAGUUGCCAUCAUUAAGUUGGGCACUCUGAAAGAACUGCCAGUGAUAAGCUGGAGGAAGGUGGGGAUGACGUCAAGUCCUCAUGGCCCUUACGUGUUGGGCUACACACGUGCUACAAUGGUAUCUACAACAGGAAGCAAGACUGCGAAGUUAAGCAAAUCCCUAAAAGAUACCUCAGUUCGGAUUGCACUCUGCAACUCGAGUGCAUGAAGCUGGAAUUACUAGUAAUCGUGGAUCAGCGUGCCACGGUGAAUGCGUUCCCGGGUCUUGUACACACCGCCCGUCACACCAUGGGAGUUGGUUCUACCUUAAGGCAAGGUUUUAAACCCUUGACCACGGUAUAGUCAGCGACUGGGGUGAAGUCGUAACAAGGUAACC